rnacentral:rRNA from 1 species
CUAACCUAUGGACGGGAAUAACCUCGGGAAACUGAGAAUAAUGCCCGAUAGAACAUUAUGCCUGGAAUGGUUUAUGUUCCAAAUGAUUUAUCGCCGUAGGAUGGGACUGCGGCCUAUCAGUUUGUUGGUGAGGUAAUGGCCCACCAAGACUAUUACAGGUACGGGCUCUGAGAGGAGUAGUCCGGAGAUGGGUACUGAGACACGGACCCAGGCCCUAUGGGGCGCAGCAGGCGAGAAAACUUUGCAAUGUGCGAAAGCACGACAAGGUUAAUCCGAGUGGUUUCUGCUAAAGAAACCUUUUGUCAGUCCUAGAAACACUGAUGAAUAAGGGGUGGGCAAGUUCUGGUGU